rnacentral:rRNA from 1 species
UACGUAGGGCGCAAGCGUUGUCCGGAAUUAUUGGGCGUAAAGAGCUCGUAGGCGGUCUGUUACGUCUGCUGUGAAAACCCAGGGCUUAACCCUGGGCUUGCAGUGGAUACGGGCAGACUAGAGGCAGGUAGGGGAGAAUGGAAUUCCCGGUGUAGCGGUGAAAUGCGCAGAUAUCGGGAGGAACACCGGUGGCGAAGGCGGUUCUCUGGGCCUUACCUGACGCUGAGGAGCGAAAGCGUGGGGAGCGAACAGG